CCCUUAGAUGUUCUGGGCUGCACGCGCGCUACACUGAUGCGUUCAACAAGUUGGACCUUGUCCGAGAGGAAAUCGGGGGAAUCUUUUGAAAACGUAUCGUGAUGGGGAUAGAUUAUUGUAAUUAUUAAUCUUCAACGAGGAAUUCCUAGUAAGCAUGAAUCAUCAGCUCGUGCUGAUUACGUCCCUGCCCUUUGUACACACCGCCCGUCGCUCCUACCGAUUGAAUGAUUUAGUGAGGACUUCGGACCGGCUGGUGAAGCUGUCUUCGGACGGCAUUGCUGGUUGGGAAGAUGUCCAAACUUGCUCAUUUAGAGGAAGUAAAAGUCGUAACA
rnacentral:rRNA from 1 species